AACCAGAGGAUUAAGUUGUGUAGCACGGUAAAAAGACAGUUAAACAAAACAGUAAGUUUAAUUCACUUGUAUUAUUGGGAAGUAGAAUUCGAAUAUAAACAAAUAUACUAGAUUGAACUAAUGAGUUGAAGCUGUGAUAACUUUGAGGGAAACUAGGAUUAGAUACCCUAUUAUUCAUAGAAAUAAAUAAGAAAAUUCUACCAGAGUACUAAGAAUAAAAAAUUUAAAACUCAAAGGGCUUGGCGGUGUUUUAGACUAUUUAGGGGAACCUGUCUCAUAAUCGACAAUCCACGUUAAACCUAACCCUCUCUUGCAUUCAGUUUGUAUACCGUCGUCGCCAGGUAACUUUUAAGAUGUAAACAGUUAGCUAACGAAAUAAUUUAAUUAAGACGUCAGAUCAAGGUGCAGCCGAUGAGAGGGUGUAGAUGGGUUACAAUUAUGCAUUUAUAAUAACGAAUAAUCAUUUUAAAAACAAUAGGAAGGAGGACUUAAAAGUAAAAAAUAAUAUAUAAGCAUUUUGAAUAAAGCUCUGAAACGUGC
rnacentral:rRNA from 1 species